rnacentral:rRNA from 1 species
UGCCCAAGAGAUCGGGAUAACACCUGGAAACAGAUGCUAAUACCGGAUAACAACAGAUGAUGCCUAUCAACUGUUUAAAAGAUGGUUCUGCUAUCACUCUUGGAUGGACCUGCGGUGCAUUAGCUAGUUGGUAGGGUAACGGCCUACCAAGGCGAUGAUGCAUAGCCGAGUUGAGAGACUGAUCGGCCACAUUGGGACUGAGACACGGCCCAAACUCCUACGGGAGGCAGCAG